rnacentral:rRNA from 1 species
CGGAUCGCAGGCUGCAACCCGCCUGCGUGAAGUCGGAAUUGCUAGUAAUCGCGGAUCAGCAUGCCGCGGUGAAUACGUUCCCGGGCCUUGUACACACCGCCCGUCACACCAUGAGAGCCGGUAAUACCCGAAGUCAGUAGUCUAACCGCAAGGAGGACGCUGCCGAAGGUAGGAUUGGCGAUUGGGGUGAAGUCGUAACAAGGUAGC